rnacentral:rRNA from 1 species
ACAGAGGUCCCAAGCGUUGUUCGGAUUCACUGGGCGUAAAGGGUGCGUAGGUGGUCAGGUAAGUUUGGUGUGAAAUCUCCGAGCUCAACUCGGAAACGGCACUAAAAACUACUUGGCUGGAGGGUCGGAAGGGAGGCUGGAAUUCUCGGUGUAGCAGUGAAAUGCGUAGAUAUCGAGAGGAACACCAGUGGCGAAAGCGAGUCUCUGGACGACUCCUGACACUGAGGCGCGAAAGCUAGGGGAGCAAACAG